AACGAACGCUGGCGGCAUGCCUAACACAUGCAAGUCGAACGAGACCUUCGGGUCUAGUGGCGCACGGGUGCUUAACGCGUGGGAACCUGCCCUUAGGUUCGGAAUAACUCAGAGAAAUUUGAGCUAAUACCGGAUGAUGUCUUCGGACCAAAGAUUUAUCGCCUUUAGAUGGGCCCGCGUUGGAUUAGCUAGUUGGUGGGGUAAAGGCCUACCAAGGCGACGAUCCUUAGCUGGUCUGAGAGGAUGAUCAGCCACACUGGGACUGAGACACGGCCCAGACUCCUACGGGAGGCAGGAGAGGGGAAUAUUGGACAAUGGGCGAAAGUCUGAUCCAGCAAUGCCGCGUGAGUGAUGAAGGCCUUAGGGUUGUAAAGCUCUUUUACCCGAGAUGAUAAUGACAGUAUCGGGAGAAUAAGCUCCGGCUAACUCCGUG
rnacentral:rRNA from 1 species